rnacentral:lncRNA from 1 species
CUUUGAACAUUUAAGUACCUCAGAUGAAACAGUUUCCCAAUUGGAGUGAGGUCCAUACCAAAAACCUCACAAACAAACAGAACUCGGAUAAACUUCAGCUCCAACAGUUCAAUGCUACGACGAUGCGACCCAAAAAUACACAGUGAUCGAACAUGUGUCAGACUCAUGCGAGGUGCGAUUUUAUCAAGUUUCGAUUCACCAAGCUGCAGAGAGAGACGAGGAGUCUUGCAAUGCUGUCUACUGGUGAUUGUCUUUAUGUUUUUUACCACACACAGAAAAUUCUCUUCUGCAGACUUGGUCACAAUUAGAUCCAGAACCAUAUCAUGAACUUUAUGAUAGAUACGCUCCGUGUUCAAAGCACGAUAUUCCACAACCUGGAUGAUCAUACUCCUAUUCACCAAUUCAUUGAAAUAGCUCCCUGCAAUUUCCAAUGCAUCUCUCCCAUCUAUUCCACAGACAAAUCCUUCAGCUACCCAUUGCAUAACUAAGUGAUCCUUUUCAAUAUCAUGAUCCUCCGGAUACAUACCAAUAUAUAAUAAGCAUGUCCUGAGAUGAUGAGGAAGAUGAGUGUAACUAAGGUUUAGUAUCUGUCUCAUCCCUUCUAAAGUUGGAUUUGACCUCAGAUCGGAACGUAAAGAAUUAAGGACACAGUUCCAUUGGCUCACUGAUCUGUUCGAUUGACUAGCUAAAAGGCUAGCUAUACUGAUGAUUGCUAGUGGCAGUCCACCACAUUUUUGUAGAAUUUUUUCAGAUGGUUCUUCAAAUGGAUGAGGACAUGUGUUUUCCAACCCAAAAACUCUACCAUAAAACAACUGCCUGGAACUAUGAUCGUCAAGAUGUUUCAUCCUGUAAACAAAUUCCCACUGAAAAUUGCAACAUGUCACUGCCACCCUUUUGAUUCGUGUAGUUGUCAACACUUUGCUACCAUAGUGGCCCUCGGGGAAAGCACAUUUUAUAAUUUCCCACGCUGAUGCAUCCCAUAAAUCAUCAACUACAACCAAAUACCUGCCAAUAUGCAUGUCCAAAUACACAUAUUAAUAUGAUACCGCAAGUAAAAGGUUUCUUUUUAUAAACAACUUGCACUGCUUUCAACUAAAAUAAAUCCGCUGAACUUUAACAUCCAAAAUAGAGUGUCUAUGUAACUUGUUAGCUAAACCAGCUGAAUUAACUUGCCAAAAUUCCGAUUCAUAGUAAAGAUUGUAACAUCACCCAUAUGAGCCCUAGAAAUGUACUGGAGAUUGUCUCAAUAAAUAGAUGAACCUUAAGGAAAUGUAUUGUAUUGGAUUAGCAAAGCAAAGUAAGUAAAAUAAAUAUGACCCUACACUAUUUUAAUUUUGAAAUUCUGAAUUUAUUGUGCAUAUUUAAAUUUCAAAGAAAUUGAAAUUCAAUCAAGUUAAAAAUGUGGAAGUUACAAAUCCUGCAGCUUAAAAUGGUGCGUAGAAAAGAGUGGAGUGUUGGUGAGAGGUAAAGUUGAACUUCGAUUCAUAGUGCCAUGUAUGUAAAGGCCACAAAAAAGGAACAGGAAACACAAAUCAAUGCCAGAUAAUCUAGUGAAAUAAGACCAAAAGUGAGCCACCUCCCACUAUAGACAGGGAAGCAAGCUAUGUGUCAUUAGGAUUGUGCUCUGUUGUAAUCACGCUUUGUUCAUUCUUUUAGUACUUUUAUACUUUCUAAUAAUAUGUUAAGAUAGGUUAGAAAUGUGAGCGUUGAUGUGUUGAAAAGAAUCUAGGAGUGUAGGACAAGAAUAAAUACCUUUUGUCCUGUAGAUACUUUCUAAGGUUAUCUAUGAGCCCAUUAACCUCGCAAAUAUCAGUCCCUCGCCCCAAAAUCUGUGUGACCAAACUCUUGAGAAGCACCACCAUGUCAGGUCUUUGAGACACUGAUACAAAAGCCUUGCAAGCAAAACUUUUCCCAAGCUUGUUGUAUACUUCAUUUGCAAGUGUGGUCUUUCCUAGACCUCCAAACCCAACAAUAGACACGACUCUUAGCUCUUGCACUGACGCAUUAUCCACCUAUUUCAAUCAAUUCGAAGACAAGCUGUGGUCACAAUAACGCAGCACAGAAACAAACCAAAAUAAUGGUACUAUAGGAUGCCAACCUGCUUUUCCAACAAAUUGAUAACCUCUUCCUUCGGGCCAUCAAUACCAACAAGUCUUGACGAUUCCACAUAAAGAGCAGAUAUCCGAGGGUCGACAGCAACACCACCGGAUCUAGUCUUGCAGUCAUCUAGCUUGUACCUCAUGCGCCGCGCACUAGCCUCUUGCACACGGAUCUUGAGCUCUUGAAUUUGGUUGGCGAGCUGAUGCCGCGCCCUUAGCGUCUUAAGACGGCGCAACAAUCCUUUACCGUCGCAGGAACCUCCAACACGGUGCAUGAACUCAUCGAUGCAGUCCUCGAUGUCGUACGACAUUUCCCUCACUUUGUUCCUCCACUGCAUGGUUUGGUUAUCCAGGUCCUCCAUGUCAGCGAGAUCUUCCAGGAGAGCGGCCAUGCUGCUGAGCUCCUCAUGGAGGAACGCCACCUGCAGGAUUGGGUUCAGGAAUUAAGAUUAGAAAAAAAGGCAAACUCCAUGAGACCAUGAGAAAAAAAAUUGGAUCAAAAGGCACCUGUUUCCGCACAUCCUUGAGCUUGGCAUACUUUUCCCCCAUAAGUGUGGCUAGCUUUCCUAGGAGCGAGUUCAUCACUCCCACUGAGGCACUCACCAGUAUCUUCUCUGCCAUUCUGACUGCACUUCUGGGAUGCCGCCGCCGCGGAGGAUGGUGACCACGGGCGAGCCAAAAACCAGCGGAUCCGCCCGGAUCUACACGGGGAGACGCCGGCCGCGUUGUUUCCGGGGGAGCGGGAGGAGCCGUGCGGCCUCUGCGAGAGCGAGCGGCCGGCGGCGCUAUGCCAUGGAGCGCUGGAGCGAGCAGUGAAGGGGGUGAUGGACUUCAAGUCCCCCAGGGCAUGUGGGAGCGCGGCGGAGAGUGGGAGACGCACUGGAAGUGGAGUUAUAUACAAUAUAAUUAGGGUUGCUGUCGGGCUGAGCAAGUUUUUUUCCCGAAUCGUAUGCUCGGAGCCCGUGGGUCACCGUGGAGGGUAUAAACCCGUCCUACACCUGCCAUGUGUCGGAUCCUCAAACUGGGUGAUUCGGGACCCGCCUCACCCCAUUGGGUCCGAACACCGUGUGUCUGGUCAAGACCCACCCGAUUGCCAUCUUUAACCAGCGCAAGGACUUCAAGUCUCCCGAGCCCACAUCCAUGUUCACGCUCAUGGCAAGAUGGGCCAGGCCCGGUGGGAUUCCCUAGCACGGCCCGAAAAAGCCUAGCACUAGCCCAGCAUCGUUCCUAGUGGAUCGUGUCCGGGCUGGCUCAGCACGAUACGUGGGGUCGUGCCUGGGCCGCCUCCUUGACACGCUGGGCCAGCUCGAGCUCGACACGUUUUUUUGGAUGGCCCGAUAGCAGUCUAGUAUAUAAACUAUUUUUUCCUUCCCCUCCCCCAUCUUUCUCCACACCCGGUCGCCUCCCUCCAUCCCACCCAGCUCCCCUCUCCUCCCCUAGAUACAGUGACCCCGGCCGCCCGACGCGGAAGAAGCUCGUCACCCGCCGCUCACUUGCUCCCCUCCUCGGCUCCCCGCCUCUCCCCCCCCCCACUCACCUCCACUUCCCCGCCCCUCUCCUCCCCUGCGAUACAGUGACGGCAGCGAGGUGCCCCUACACCUCUUUCUCGAUUAGAUGGUGAUGACAUGUGGACCCUGCUCCCUCCAGCCGUGAGGCGCGCCGGUCACCGCCACUGUGGGGUGAUGCUAGCCGACCCUUGCCGUGGGGGCGAUGCCAGCCGACCCUUGCUGUGGGGGCGCUACCAGGAGUCACGGCGGAUGGUGCCGGCCUGGAGCCACGCUCGCCACCGCCGAGGGCUGCCACGGGGGCGCGGCCUCGAGCCUGGAGCGUGCCCACCGGUGGCCACCGCUGUUAGUGCCUGGCCCGCACUAGCACAACAGUGCCAACCAUGCUAGAGGGUCAGUUCAGCCCGGCACGAAAAAGCCAUCGGACCUAAUAGUGACGGACGUAUUUGGGUUAGUGCCGGACAGCCCAUCUGAUCAUCUAUACACGCUCCCCACGGAUUGUGGGCCGGCGCUCCGCGUUGUCUUACACAAUUACACACAAGCACCGGUGGUCGUCAAAGGAGCAACCUCUUGCAAUUACCGUACCAUGUAUUUUAAACAAACAGAAACAAAGAAGCAGGCUCCAAUGUUGGCAUGUUGCUAGUCACCAACAGUCUUCAUCGUCAUCGUUGUCCGCUCUGGAUUGAUAUGUUCUGUCAUGCGAAGAAGAGCCUGAGGCGUCCCGUAAAGCAUCGCGUGCGGAUUUUACACCAGUUCAGUGUUAUGUGGCUUCACCCACUGUAAAAGAUGCAUGGAUUCGUGAUGUAUCGGCCACGAGUCAAAGAGAACAAUUUUGCCAAACCUAUCUUCAGCACCUGUCUUGGGCUAGAGCGGGUGAGUGCAGAUAAUUUAGAGGGCAAAAAAUCAAAAAGGAAGAUGAUGUGCAGAGCCUUGGUUCCACAUGUACUCUAGCAGAAUUGUUCUUUCGCCAAAGGCAAUUGCAUCGGUGACUAGUUUUGCUGCUCCUUUUACUGAUCUGAUUCCAUUCAGCUGUGUUAUCGACUUCCACCUGAUCAGCACAAGCAGUUUGACUUGGAGGCUCUACAGUUUCCUGCUCCGCGAUACUACUAGAAAUAACAUGUCUAGCCUUACAGAUUCCAAUUCUUUUAAUGGCGCCUCCGUGGACCUCCUCUGCAUGCAUAGAAUGGUUGGAGGGCCCUUGUGCAUGGUUGACCUUAUUAGGAUGCUCCAAUCUUAACGGGUGACUCCUCUCUAUGAAUGGACUGGCCGACAGGUUCACUUGUUGCGCAAUCCACAUGAAAAUGGCUGUCCUUGUGUUUGAUCUGGGGGAACUGAUUGACUCUUCUCUAACUGAACGAGCAGGAAAAGGUGUUUGCACAUUGUACCUUCCUACUUGCACUUGUCCUGCACGAAUUGCCCGGCUUAUGCUCUCUUCCUGCACAUGAUCCACAGCAAUGCAAUUGGAAAAAAGGAAAGUGUGUAUACUAGCCACCAGACAAUUGUACAUACAGAUAGAUGUAACAAGUAUACAACGUCCCACUCAUUGAAAUGUCACAGAAGAAUGAACAAAAACAUUUCAAGGGACAAAGCAAUUUGCAAGCAAACAAACAAUCAACAAAGGUAAUUCAACACUAAUGAAGAAGGUUUCCAGGAGAUGAUGAUUAUGUACUUCACCUAAAGAAAUGUAUACACUCAGAAGAUUAUCAUGUUAAGUGACAAAUCGUUAUGUAACUAAUUAAGUUAGUAUGCGUAUCCUUCAAGUCCAACUUAGUUGCAAAGCAAUUGUUGUGGAAGAUAAGCAAAAGAUAUAAGGUUCCAAUGGAUUGGCAACUGACAAUUUACCAACAGAGGAAGUGAGGAACUGAAGAAGCAUAGAUAAUCUGGCACUCCUAAAUUAGUACUGGAGAUGAUGAACCUAGCAUUUUCUGGAUUCUGUUUACAGUACUGCUAUAGCAGUGUGGAUGAAACAAAAAAGAUCCAUCAUGCUAAGCUUAGCUAGCAAUCACAAAAAAAAAAAAACGAAGUCCGACAAUUCACUACCUAGGCAGGAACUUGCAAACAGAUAGAACAGAGCAUCGACAAAAUUCUCAAGAAGUUUUGCAGACAUGAAAUGCAGUCCUUCAAUUAGUGCACAUUUUGCUGCUAUUAGGAGAAAUUUUUACGGUUUUGUAAUUGGACUAAAAUAAAAGGGCCGGGUAUGUAUUCUAUAAGAUGACUUAUUAAAUAAACCACUUUUUAGAGAGAGUUGCAAUUAAAUUCUGUUUAGACCUCCAUAUCUCUCUUCCAUACCUACUUUUUCACAUGCUAAUUAAACGAUAAACAAACCAUAACUCUACCCCUCUGGAUCCGCUGAGGAUGACAGUUGCCUUGCACCAGAUGACCAGAGCAAAUACGACUAAUAUCUUAUUGUAUGAUAUGUAUAUUAAGUGAUAAGUAAUAAGAAAAUAUUUGUGUGUUGUUUUGGUACAUUAUGACAUGUUGUCUUACCUACACAUCACUAAUCACUAAUAAAAAAACACUUUCAAUAUGCAAUCCAACAACGUAUUUAUCACGGUGUCAACAUGUUUUCAACGUAUUUAUCAGAGAUUUUACAUGAUAUCUUGAAUUCUUUUCUGCUCCAAUGAACGGGUUUCACAAUUUAGCCAUUGUGGUCCCCAUGUCAUUGUUGACUCCCUAAUGGCACCGCAUGAGAAAUUGACAAUAGACAGUAGUGACAAAUUUCCAAUUACUUCCACUAUUGUAAACCAUGUGUGUAUAUCACGGUAUCAAUAUGUUGAAAACACUAGUGAAUCCGAAUCAAUUCGAGGCGCGCAUGCGCUUCUAUUCUUCCACUCCCUUCGUUUCAAAUCGUAGGCCGUGGCAUUUCUAAAUACGUAGAUUUUGUAGAUACAUAGCAAAAAUCUACGUAAACGUUGAAAUGAUCCAAAUUUUUAGACGGAGAGGGAGUAAGUUUUCUAACGUUGUCAUGAUAGAAUUGUUGGGCUUGUGGGAAUGAUUGCCUUAUGGAUCCGGGCAUCGCGGGUGGUCAGAUGUAAACCUGAGCCCCACAAAAUAGGCAGAGGGCAAGGCAAUUAUCUGCACGAGGCAAUAAUGAUGUACCAACAAAAAGGCCGCUUUGCUCGAGCUGCCCACCCUCAAAUUCAAGAACUGUAGUGUAUUUAAGCACUAUUUUUUCUGUACCCAGCACUCUAGAGCCUAGGGCGCCGCUCAAUUUUGUGGUACAUCUGACUCCCUAUUUGUAACAUUUUUCCAAAAUUUGUGGUACAUCCGCCGCCUUCCAUUUGGUGGCACGAAUAAAAUUUUACCAAAUUUUCUUUUGCCGGUGCACCCUAUUUGUAACAUUUUUCCAAAUACGGUAGUACAUUUACAUUUUCUAAAAGCAGGUUAAUAUAUAGAUACACAAUUUACUAUGUCACGAGGACACAACAAUUUAUGAAGAUGCAAUGCUAGGAUUGCGCUAACGCAAUCUGUUUAUGUUAAUUGGUAGAGAAGUUCUACAAUAUAAGUGCAAUUUAAUCAUCAUCAGAUGGAUACAAGUACCUUGUUAUAUAAAUGCCGGGGCGUCCUGGAUGAUGCCCAUCGAAGAAGGCCCUUAUUGCAGCAUCUACCUUUGGUACAUCUGACACUUCACUUAUACUGUUACUAGCGUAGGACAAACCGAUGGCUACUCUUUUCAGAUUCGUCAGAUGCUCGACGCCGGCAAGCCUGAUGCCACAUGUCUUCACUAAACCCACACGCAAUUGAAACACGAGGGUCUCAAGCUUGGGCACUGCUCCAGCUUGGAAGUGGAAGGCCAGGCCUGCCCGAGAUUCGAAGUAAUCAAGAGAUCUGAAUGCCGCACUGCUGGAAACAGUGAAAUGCCUCGUAUUGCCAUUGAGUAACUUCUGGAUGGAAUAAUAAAACAGGGUAUCCUUACGUGCUUCCAUAGUGGGGAACCUGUGACCAAAGAUACACAUGUCGACGGCGAGGUCGACGCCGCACUGCGGGCACCGAAAGUGGGUGAGGCCAUGGGGGCACGUUGAGGACGGCCUUGCAGCGCGCGCAGGGGAGCUGGAUCUUGGUGGGGUCCACGCCCUGCGCCCGGGGAGCGAAGCGGCGGGCGGGAGGAGGGUGGGUGCCGGCUGAGGCUGAGGCAGCGAAGAGUGUGUGUGUGCGCGCGCGCGGGGGGGGGGGGGGGGGGGGGUGGGGGGUUCUAUUUGAACCAAUCUGGGAAGAAUAGCGACUAGAGGGAGAGACAGGGAGUGNNNNNNNNNNNNNNNNNNNNNNNNNNNNNNNNNNNNNNNNNNNNNNNNNNNNNNNNNNNNNNNNNNNNNNNNNNNNNNNNNNNNNNNNNNNNNNNNNNNNNNNNNNNNNNNNNNNNNNNNNNNNNNNNNNNNNNNNNNNNNNNNNNNNNNNNNNNNNNNNNNNNNNNNNNNNNNNNNNNNNNNNNNNNNNNNNNNNNNNNNNNNNNNNNNNNNNNNNNNNNNNNNNNNNNNNNNUUUUUGAGGGGUACACGUACAAGACUACUGAUUCAGUGGAUUCGGGCUUGAUAUCUCAAAGGUACUCAUUUUUAGAACCUCAAAUUUGUUUUAGAGUGUCAUAUGGUUCCUCAAAAGACUUUCACGUUUUCAUUGUAACUGCCCUGACUAGGGCACACUGAGCAACCUUAAGAUCUAGUCAAGCAACCUUAAAAUCUACAACGAUACGCAAAAUCGUAGCUUGUUACCUGAAUGACGGGGCAUCAUCAAAAUCGUAGCUUGUUACAUGAAUGACGGGGCAUCAUCAAAAUCGUAGCUUGUUACAUGAAUGACGAGGCAUCAUCAAAAUCGUAGCUUGUUACAUGAAUGACGGGGCGUCCUGGAUGAUGCCCGUCGAAGAAGGCCCUUAUUGCAGCCUCUAUCAUUGGUAAAUCUGAUGACUCUUCACUUCUAUAGUACCACAAACCGACGGCUACUCUUUUCAGAUUCGUCAGAUGCUCGACGCCGGCAAGCCUGAUGCCACACGUCUUCACUUCACGCGCAACCAAUUGAAACCUGAGGGUCUCAACCUUGGGCACUGCUCCAGCUUGGAAGUGGAAGGAGUGGCCUGCUCGACGAUAUUCGAAGUAAUCAAGAGAUCUGAACGCCGCACUGCUGCUGAAGACAAUCACUUCAUCAGGGACAUCACGCGCCCAUAGCACAAGAUGGGCAAGGGCAGGUAACCCUGCAAGAACAGAAAUAUCAUCCUUGGACAGCUUGUCAACACGGAUUUCCAGGUUGCUGAGCGUGCUAAGCUGACCAACCCACAUAGGUAACCUUGGAAACUGGAAUUGCAGGUGGAGUUGCUCGAGACGACAGUCUGACAAGCACAAUGAGUUCCACCCAUCAUAGUAGCCUGUAUGUCUUUGGUCUAAUGAGGAAACAGUGAAAUGCCUCAGAUUGCCAUUGAGUAACUUCUGGAUGGAAUAAAACAGAGCAUCCUUAUGUGUUUCCAUAGCGGGGAAGCUGUCAUCAGUGAAACACAUGCGCAGCUCCCUUAGAUUCAGCAAUUCUCCGAGAGCCCUUAAAUUAUCGACCGACUGCUUGCUUGGAUCGAACCCCUUCAGAGUACGAAGAGAUUUCAUCUUGCUAAUCCCAUCAGGAUAAGCCAUCCACACAGAAACCUUCAAAUAUGACAAAGCAGGCAAAUCGACAAUAUCAUGAGGAAGUUCGGACAACAGCCCACCUAUAACCAAUGUCUCCAGAUGAUGUAGCCCACAAAUUUGUUUAGGCAGUUGCAUGCUCAAUUCAAGGUAGCUUGUAACAUUUAAAUACCUCAGUUGAAACAGUUUCCCAAUUGGAGUGAGGUCCAGACCAUCAACCUUACAAACAAACAGAACUCGGAUAAACUUCAGCUCCGACAGUUCAAUGCUACGAUGACGCAACCCAGAAAUACACAGUGAUCGAACAUGUGUCAGACUCAUGCGAGGUGCGAUUUUAUCAAGUUCUGCCUCACCAAGCUGCAGAGAGAGCCGGCGAGUCUUGCAAUGCUGUCUUCUGGUGACUGUCUCUAUGUUUUCUACCACGCACAGAAAAUUCUCUUCUGCAGACUUGGACACAAUUAGAUCUAGAACCAUAU